GACGAACGCUGGCGGCGUGCCUAAUACAUGCAAGUCGAGCGAAUCAAUGGGAGCUUGCUCCCUGAGAUUAGCGGCGGACGGGUGAGUAACACGUGGGUAACCUGCCUGUAAGACUGGGACAACUUCGGGAAACCGGAGCUAAUACCGGAUACGUUCUUUUCUCGCAUGAGAAGAGAUGGAAAGAUGGGUCUGCUAUCACUUACAGAUGGACCCGCGGCGCAUAAGCUAGUUGGUGAGGUAACGGCUAACCAAGGCAACGAUGCGUAGCCGACCUGAGAGGGUGAUCGGCCACACUGGGACUGAGACACGGCCCAGACUCCUACGGGAGGCAGCAGUAGGGAAUCUUCCGCAAUGGACGAAAGGCUGACGGAGCAACGCCGCGUGAGCGAAGAAGGCCUUCGGGUCGUAAAGCUCUGUUGUUAGGGAAGAACAAGUACGAGAGUAACUGCUCGUACCUUGACGGUACCUAACCAGAAAGCCACGGCUAACUACGUGCCAGCAGCCGCCGUAAUAC
rnacentral:rRNA from 1 species